rnacentral:rRNA from 1 species
GACGAACGCUGGCGGCGUGCCUAAUACAUGCAAGUCGAACGCUGAAGGAGGAGCUCGCUUCUCUGGAUGAGUUGCGAACGGGUGAGUAACGCGUAGGUAACCUGCCUGGUAGCGGGGGAUGACUAUUGGAAACGAUAGCUAAUACCGCAUAAGAGUAGAUGUUGCAUGACAUUUGCUUAAAAGGUGCAAUUGCAUCACUACCAGAUGGACCUGCGUUGUAUUAGCUAGUUGGUGGGGUAACGGCUCACCAAGGCGACGAUACAUAGCCGACCUGAGAGGGGGAUCCGCCAGACUGGGACUGAGACACGGCCCAGACGCCUACGGGAGGCAGCAGUAGGGAAGCGUCGGAGAUGGACGGAAGUCUGACCGAGCAACGCCGAGUGAGUGAAGAAGGUUUUCGGAUCGUAAAGCUCGGUUGUAAGAGAAGAACGAGUGUGAGAGUGGAAAGUUCACACUGUGACGGUAGCUUACCAGAAAGGGACGGCUAACUACGUG